UAAUGAGAUUCAUCUAAUUAAAGCAAUACUAAUUAUACUCUCUCCAUGUCAAAAUAAGUAUAGUUUUUUUCCUAUAUGAUUUUUUUGUUUGAUUUUCUUUCUGGAAGAUCACAUCUAGAUAUAAGUGUCACUAUCGAUCUGAUGACAAUUGGAUUGAAUCACUAGAGGUUCAAACAGUAACCAAGCCAUUUGCAGUAGAAGAACAGAAACAUUAUGGAUGGAAUGCUCAAGUUUUGCCAAAAAGGAGGCAUUGGUUUAGGAGGCUUGUUCAGUGGACUCAAAGGGAUACAUCAAAACCUGAAUUCAAUCUGGGACUCAUUGGUCAAGAACAAACAGUGGGUUCUCUCAAUGAAAUAUGGUUCCAAAACCCAUCCAGUGCCAAAGGGGAAAUGAAGCUUCAACUGACAGUAGGCUUUACAGUGUGAAGAAGAACAGAUCGAAGAAUACCCACACAACAGGGCGGCGGCGCGGCGGCGUGCAGUGGAGGCCGCCGACGAGGGCGUGCGCGCGGAGUGGAGGCCGGGGGCGGCGCUCGCAGGG